rnacentral:rRNA from 1 species
GACGAACGCUGGCGGCGUGCCUAAUACAUGCAAGUUGAGCGCUGAAGGUUGGUACUUGUACCAACUGGAUGAGCAGCGAACGGGUGAGUAACGCGUGGGGAAUCUGCCUUUGAGCGGGGGACAACAUUUGGAAACGAAUGCUAAUACCGCAUAAAAACUUUAAACACAAGUUUUAAGUUUGAAAGAUGCAAUUGCAUCACUCAAAGAUGAUCCUGCGUUGUAUUAGCUAGUUGGUGAGGUAAAGGCUCACCAAGGCGAUGAUACAUAGCCGACCUGAGAGGGUGAUCGGCCACAAUGGGACUGAGACACGGCGCAAACUCCUACGGGAGGCAGCAGUAGGGAAUCUUCGGAAAUGGACGAAAGUCUGACCGAACAACGCCGCGUGGGUGAAGGAGGUUUUCGGAUCGUAAAACUCUGUUGGUAGAGAAGAACGUUGGUGAGGGUGGAAAGCUCAUCAAGUGACGGUAACUACCCAGAAAGGGACGGCUAACUACGUG